AUGCUUCUCCUAAAGACUAAGCCAUGCAUGCCUCCGAAUAGAAGAGCAAAUCUCUCUGAAUCUGCGAACGGCUCCGCAAACCAGUUGUAAACCAUAGCAAGCAUGCUCCAGGAAAGCCGCAAGGCAGCCCUGGGGCUACAAGGAUAACCCCGGUAAUUCUGAGGCUAAUACAUGAACGUAACCCCUGGUCGAUGGGCAACCUGAGGCUGGGGACCGUGCGAGACCUCGCAAAAAUUUAUCGGAAAAGUCGCAUCGUAAGACCGCCAUACCAAACAGUCCUUUUCUGUCGCCCUCACGGGAGGCCGGAUCGUUCUGGGCGGCUCUUGCAAGGUGCUUCUGACCUAUCAACUAGAUGGCAGCGUAAGGGACAUGCUAUGGUGACAACGGGUACAGAGGAUAAGGGUUCGAUCCUGGAGAGUGGGCCUGAGAGAUUGCUCACACUUCUAAGGAAGGCAGCAGGCGCGCAACGUUCCCCUUGGGCAAUGCCCGAGGGCGUUAGGGGACAUAUGAAUGCCUGCCAUUUGGUGGGCAAUUCAAAUGGGUCUGUUCUAAACAGCCUC
rnacentral:rRNA from 1 species